GAUGAACGCUGGCGGCGUGCCUAAUACAUGCAAGUCGAGCGAACAGACGAGGAGCUUGCUCCUCUGACGUUAGCGGCGGACGGGUGAGUAACACGUGGAUAACCUACCUAUAAGAUUGGGAUAACUUCGGGAAACCGGAGCUAAUACCGGAUAAUAUAUUGAACCGCAUGGUUCAAUAGUGAAAGACGGUUUUGCUGUCACUUAUAGAUGGAUCCGCGCCGCAUUAGCUAGUUGGUAAGGUAACGGCUUACCAAGGCGACGAUGCGUAGCCGACCUGAGAGGGUGAUCGGCCACACUGGAACUGAGACACGGUCCAGACUCCUACGGGAGGCAGCAGUAGGGAAUCUUCCGCAAUGGGCGAAAGCCUGACGGAGCAACGCCGCGUGAGUGAUGAAGGUCUUCGGAUCGUAAAACUCUGUUAUUAGGGAAGAACAAAUGUGUAAGUAACUAUGCACGUCUUGACGGUACCUAAUCAGAAAGCCACGGCUGACUACGUG
rnacentral:rRNA from 1 species